CCAACUCGAGGAGUCUGGGUGGCUGGAGCUCUGCACUGGUCACCUUUGGGGUGAGUAGCCUGGCCCCAAAGUGACAUACAAACAUCAUUUUCUGUGUGUGUCACAGCCUGGAGAAAGGUGAGAAGUCCCAGAUGAUAUCAGUCUAAGAGUUUUGUACUUGACAGAAAAAGAGAACAAAGAGCCAGUCUGGAGGAAAUCAGCAAGUGCCUUACAUUUUUUUCCCAAGCUAGGCUUGGUGGCUCAUGCCUAUAAUCCCAGCACUUUGGGAAGCCAACGUGGAAAGAUAGCUUGAGGCCGGGAGUUUGUGUGCUGAGAAACUGCUUUGAUGCACAAAGACCAUGAACCAGGGAGCCCCACCCUGUUUUUACAGAAAGGGAUGAUCCCUUAGGAUUUAACCCCAUAAGAUUAAUUUUCCCCAUAGGAAACUGUUACUGACCUGUAGAACAUUUGGGGAGAAUUUGAAAAUACAUAGUACAUAGAAAACUAAGGAAAGGGGGGAAAGGCACUAUUAAUAUAAGGCAAAUCAGCAUUACAUAAAAAGGAAAUGGGUUCCCAUCCCACCACCUGGCUU
rnacentral:lncRNA from 1 species